rnacentral:rRNA from 1 species
AGAAUCAACGCUGGCGGCGUGCCUAACACAUGCAAGUCGAACGAGAAAGUGGAGCAAUCCAUGAGUAAAGUGGCGCACGGGUGAGUAACACGUGACUAACCUACCCUUGAGUGGGGGAUAACCUAGGGAAACCUGGGCUAAUACCGCAUAAUACCUUCGGGUCAAAGGAGCAAUUCGCUUAAGGAGGGGGUCGCGGCCGAUUAGUUAGUUGGCGGGGUAAUGGCCCACCAAGACGAUGAUCGGUAUCCGGCCUGAGAGGGCGCACGGACACACUGGAACUGAAACACGGUCCAGACUCCUACGGGAGGCAGCAGUGGGGAAUUUUGCGCAAUGGGGGAAACCUGACGCAGCAACGCCGCGUGGAGGAUGAAGUCCCUUGGGACGUAAACUCCUUUCGAUCGGGACAUAAUGACGGUACCGGAAGAAGAAGCCCCGGCUAACUUCGCGCCAGCAGCCGC